UACGGGGGGGGCAAGCGUUGUUCGGAAUUACUGGGCGUAAAGGGCUCGUAGGCGGCCAACUAAGUCCGACGUGAAAUCCCCCGGCUUAACCUGGGAACUGCGUCUGAUACUGGGAGGCUAGAGUGCGGGAGAGGGAUGCGGAAUUCCAGGUGUAGCGGUGAAAUGCGUAGAUAUCUGGAGGAACACCGGUGGCGAAGGCGGCAUCCUGGACCGACACUGACGCUGAGGCGCGAAAGCUAGGGUAGCAAACGGG
rnacentral:rRNA from 1 species